ensembl:snoRNA small nucleolar RNA SNORD98
GAGUAAUGAUGUUUUAAACCUAUUCCAUUUCUGAAAUACUGUGGAAAAAAAUCAGCUGAACUC